AUACGGAGGGUGCGAGCGUUAAUCGGAAUUACUGGGCGUAAAGCGUGCGUAGGCGGUUUGGCAAGUCAGGUGUGAAAGCCCUCGGCUCAACCGAGGAACUGCACUUGAAACUGCCAGACUGGAGUUCGGGAGAGGGUAGCGGAAUUCCGGGUGUAGGGGUGAAAUCCGUAGAUAUCCGGAGGAACACCGGUGGCGAAGGCGGCUACCUGGACCGAUGCUGACGCUGAGGUACGAAAGCGUGGGGAGCAAACAGGAUUAGAUACCCCAGUAGUCC
rnacentral:rRNA from 1 species